rnacentral:tRNA from 1 species
GGGGGUGUAGCUCAGUUGGGAGAGCGCUUGAAUGGCAUUCAAGAGGCCUGCGGUUCGAUUCCGCACAUCUCCA